CGAAGAGUAGUAGUACUCCUCUAUUCCUCGGCCAAAAGAUGUUCGUCGAUCUCUUUCGAGACCUCGACACAGAAUUGGAGGAGAGUUUCCGGAUGAGCUACCUCCUCGCUUAUUUUCUCAUACUCAAGGUGCCAGUGCACAAUACUUCCAGGGCCUCCAAGCUUCGGGGUCACCUGGAUCGUGAGCAAGAAGCUCUUGUACUCUUUCAUCAGAUCACCGUCGAUAACCCUAAACGUGAUCAAGUUCUUAUUCGGCUCCACUGCCUCAAUCCUCUCCUUAGCCACCUUUGCCUCUCUAUCUGCACCAAUUAUUUAACAAUUGAUAUUAUAUGUUUAACUUUGAGACAUGGUUAUACAUGAACAAGAUGUAUAUAACAUUGACUUGCCAUGAACGUAGUUCCAGAAGACGAUAGAGCCGACUUGACCCCAGUCGCCUUCGUGAAGAUCACAACCUUGAAUGUUUCCUGGAGAUGCUUUAGAGACAUGGUGUGGUUUCCCGGCGAACAUGUGAUGGAACUUCUCAGCGGAAGCUUUGAUCUCCACGUCUGUCUCUAGCUUUCCCACCAAACUAGGCGUCUCUGGUGUCUUCACCUCCUCUUCCUCGGCCAAGAGAUGUUCGUCGAUCUCUUUGGAGACCUCGACACAGAACUGGAGGAGAGUUUCCGGGUGAGCUACCUCCUCGCUAAUUUUCUCAUACUCAAGGUGCCAGUGCACAAUACUUCCAGGGCCUCCAGGCUUAGGGGUCACCUGGAUGGUGAGCAAGAAGCUCUUGUACUCUUUCAUCAGAUCACCUUCUAUAACCCUAAACGUGAUCAAGUUCUUAUCUGGCUCCACCGCCUCGAUCCUCUCCUUCGCCACCUUUGCCUCCCCAUC
rnacentral:lncRNA from 1 species